GACGAACGCUGGCGGCAGGCUUAACACAUGCAAGUCGAACGGAAAGGCCCUGCUUGUGUGGGGUGCUCGAGGGGCGAACGGGUGAGUAACACGUGAGUAACCUGCCCUUGACUUUGGGAUGACUUCAGAAGACUGGGGCUAAUACAUGAGAGGAGCUCCUGCUGCAUGGGGGGGGUUGGAAAGUUUCGGCGGUUGGGGGUGGACUCGCGGUUUAUCAGCUUGUGGGGUGGGUAGUGGCUUACGAGGGCGUUGACGGGUAGCCGGACUGAGAGGGUGACCGGCCACCUUGGGACUGAGGUACGGCCCAGCCUCCUACGGUAGGCAGCAGUGCGGAAUCUUGCACAAUGGGCGGAAGCCGUAUGCAGCAACGCCGCGUGCUGGAUAACGGCCUUCGGGUUGUAAACCGCUUGCGCCUGUGACGAAGCGUGAGUGACGGUAAUGGGUAGAGAAGCACCGGCUAACUACGUG
rnacentral:rRNA from 1 species